UCUUAUCUUGAUGAAGUAUCUGCUAUUCAUUUAUUCUUUGUACCUCUUGCUGGCGUAUGGGAUACAUCUAAGGCAAAUGGAAAAACACCAAAUGACUAUGGAUUUAUUGGUGUAACUUUUUCUGGACAAAUUAAGAAUUACGGAUUUCAUUUGUUGUAUAAAGAUGAACUAGAGCAUGAGGCGUUGUUACAAAUGAGGGGAGAUAAUGAUGAACCAACAGAGCACUCCAUUUGGACAAGGAGGAACAGAUAUGAUGAUAGUGAACACCAUAAUGAAGCCAGUUGCUCGUCUUCUAAGAAACAAAGGUCUGGUACUACUGUUGAUGUGCCAGUUAAUCCAGAAACUUUGCAGCUCUUUCCGACAAGUCCUGGAUUUUCGCUUAAAUAAAGUCACCAAAUUAGUGCCAGAAAGUGUAGGCAACACUAACAGUCCAAGACUGGGAAUCUAAGGGGUUAAGAAGGAACUUUGCAUGUUGAAUAUGAAAUGAUGCAUACCCAACCGAUAUCGAGAUUUCACCGUGUUAUCACUUGAAGGUGUUAUAAGUUCAUAGAGAAAAUGCAAAGUGUUAUUCCCAAAGGUAAGUUGGGAAUAAGAUGAAACAAUCAAAGAUGCAGUACAGCUUGAGACGGUGGGGGAAGCUGGAGUGAAGUUGAGUGCAAACUGGGACCAUGGUACUUUUAGAACAACGCUGGUAACUCCGCCUGUGAAGGACACAUGUUUCCUCUGUUUGUAACAGAACAACUAGUAAUUUGUUGUUUCAGAAUAUCUCAUCAUUGCGGCGUGACAUUUCUGCUUCAGUCACUAAGAGUGUUUACCACAAGGGGGAAUAUUGCAAGUUGGUUCCACCAUCCGGGAAUUGGUAGAAUUAAUUGUAUCAGUCAAUUUGCCUGAAAAUCGGUCUUGAAUAUCCUUGAAGUCGUGGAUAUUGUCAACAGAGAAGGGACUCAUCGAGCUGCAACGAUACAGGAGUUGGGUAAAAAAUGAAACAAUUGACGUGAGACAUUGGAGGAAGCUGGAGUACGAGGUCAUGAAAUUGAGUGCAAACUGGGAGUUUCGCGUAACACUGCAUAUGAAGGGCACAUGUUUCCUCUGCCUGAGAAAGAGAUUCACGAAAGAACUUGGAUGAGCAUUGGAACUAUUAGUAAGUCACCUCACAUCACAAAGCUAGCGAAGCAAAGGGAACUAUUUGCAGGAAUCAAACGUACACGCGGUGGUAGAGCAGCUAUUCCACUGGAGUCGGAGUUGGAGUUGUGUGACAUAAUAGAGAAUUAGAAUCAGAGUUGUCAAAAGAGAUGAGCAUAUAUAUCUUUUGCAAUCAGAAACAUUGAAUUGAUUGUAUUUUCUCUUGUUUUUUAACUAGUUCUCGAACCAGUGUAUUCUAUGCUAAUUAGUACAAUUUUUUUUAAAAUAAUAGAGAAGGGA